UGACAUGGUCUGCGUAUAGGUUACAAGGUGACAUAAAUUUUUACCUUUUUUCUUCUUUUUCUUGACAUUCAUAUUGCUUUAAAGAAAUUACAUGGAAGAAGGAUGAGAUGGUUGCUUUACAGAAGAUAGGAAAUGAGAAGGAAGUUUCCCACUUGGUAAAGCUAUACUUAUCAAAGACUUUAAAUCACAGACCACAAAAACAAACUCAUUCAUAUUCUGAAUUCUCAAACUCUUUUUUCAUCCAAUUUCUCUCAAUUAUCAUGGCUAUGCAAUUACCUUCCUCUUCCUCUUCAUUUUCCUCUGCAUUCACUUACCAAGUGUUCCUCAGUUUUAGGGGCACUGACACUCGCCACGGUUUUACCGGCAAUCUCUACAAGGCUCUUACUGACAAGGGAAUCAAAACCUUCAUUGAUGACAAUGAUCUUCAAAGAGGAGAUGAAAUCACACCAUCACUCCUCAAGGCCAUCGAAGAAUCUAGGAUUUUUAUUCCUGUGUUUUCUAUCAACUAUGCCACUUCAAAAUUUUGCUUGGACGAACUUGUUCACAUUAUUCAUUGCUACAAGACAAAAGGUCGCCUCGUUUUGCCUGUUUUCUUUGGUGUGGAUCCUACUAAUGUGCGACAUCAUACAGGUCCUUAUGGUGAAGCAUUGGCUGGACAUGAAAAGAGGUUUCAAAAUGAUAAGGAUAACAUGGAGAGGUUGCAUCAAUGGAAGUUGGCUCUGACCCAAGCUGCUAACUUGUCCGGCUACCAUUCUAGUCCUGGGUACGACAAUUUACUUAAUUUCUGUUUUCCUUUCUGCAUCUUAAAGCCUAAAUGGGAAACACUUUUUCUAUUUACGUUUUUAAACAAUUAUUUAAUUAUUUUUAUGUCAAAAUAGUUAGAAAUGUAUACUAUAUUCUGAGUACAUGGAUGUGAUUGUGAUGUUGUUACAUACUAACUUAUCUUAUAUGACAUGAAUAGAUAUGAAUACAAGUUUAUUGGCGAUAUAGUCAAAUACAUCUCCAACAAGAUCAGUCGUCAGCACUUACAUGUUGCCAAUUACCCUGUUGGAUUACAGUCCCGAGUACAACAAGUGAAAUCGCUUCUUGGUGAAGGAUAUGAUAAUGGAGUCAGGAUGGUAGGACUUUAUGGUACUGGAGGCUUGGGUAAAUCAACACUUGUAAAAGCAGUUUAUAACUUAAUUGCUGAUCAAUUUGAAUGCUCAUGUUUUCUUGAAAAUGUGAGAGAGAAUUCAGCUUCAAAUAAAUUGAAACAUCUCCAGGAGGAGCUCCUUUUAAAAGCACUUCAACUGAAAAUUAAGUUAGGAGGUGUUAGUGAGGGAAUUCCUUAUAUAAAGGAAAGGCUGCAUACAAAGAAGACUCUUUUGAUUCUCGAUGAUGUUGACGAUAUGGAGCAACUACAUGCUUUGGCAGGAGGACCUGAUUGGUUCGGCCGUGGAAGCAGGGUCAUCAUUACCACUCGAGACAAACACUUACUAAGAAGUCAUGGGAUAGAAAGUACGCAUGANNNNNNNNNNNNNNNNNNNNNNNNNNNNNNNNNNNNNNNNNNNNNNNNNNNNNNNNNNNNNNNNNNNNNNNNNNNNNNNNNNNNNNNNNNNNNNNNNNNNNNNNNNNNNNNNNNNNNNNNNNNNNNNNNNNNNNNNNNNNNNNNNNNNNNNNNNNNNNNNNNNNNNNNNNNNNNNNNNNNNNNNNNNNNNNNNNNNNNNNNNNNNGGAGAAAAGCAACGCAGAGGAGAAUGUGAUAUUCACCGAUCCUCAUAGAGGAUAUAGAAAUACUUCAUUAUCACAAUUUGAGCCUCCUCUGAAAAAGCAAAGAUUGGUGGAAGUGGUAGUUUCAGAGACAGAAAUUUGGCAGCAGCAACAUCUAGCAUUAUUGUCACUGCAACAACAAAUGGCUUUAUUACCACAGCAACAACGUAUAACUGUUUUGUCAGGCAUGUGGAACUUGGUGCUUAGUGAAACAAAGCAAAGCACUUCUAAGAAAAAGCAUGCGGAAGUGGGAGUUUCGGAGACAGAAAUUUUGCAGCAACAACAUCUAGCUUUAGUGUCAGGCAUGCAAAACUUGGUGCUUACUGAAACAAAUGAGGAACAUCUUUGCUAGAUAGAUUCCUUUGUCCAGGUACAUCAUUAUCAUUAUUAUAAGCUAAUUAAUUGUUUCUACUUGCAUAAGUUUUUCAAAUGAUCAAAGACACGAUGUAAGAUUCUGUGAAGAAUCCUUUAUACCUCAAACACUUUUGAUCGCAGGCGUGUCUGGUGUCUGUCAUGUGUCUGUGUCCAAUAUCAACACAAUACUGACACAUGUGAUUACAUUCAAAUAUGUUAUUUUCUCAAGUUGUGACCGGUGUUGACAAAUCAGUGUUGUCAAGUUCAGUGUCCAUGUCUUUGUCGGUGCUUCAUAGAGAAGAUGUUUUAGAAAUUAUAAAUGAAAACAUUUUUAUGAUUCAAGCUUACCACUAUUUGUUUAUUUACUAUUUAUUUUGGUAUGGUGGGAUUGAAUGGAUCUUUUCAGUUAAAUAGUUAAUAGCCUAAACAUGGUAAAUAUUAAGGUUAAUGAAGAAUUUUUUUAGAUAUUUCUCUACAUUUAGUUGAUGAGGUUAAAUUUACUACUAGUAAACAUGUUUCAUGAACCUGUAUUCAUCUCAUUAGUUAUGAUUUAGAUUGGAAUUUGUUUAGUCACAUUUCACAGGGGUUUCUACAUUUAGUUGAUGAUGAAUUUUGUUUUAUAACUUGGUUUCAGUUUUGUGCUUCCGAGCAUUACAUUGGUGUUGUAAUGAAUGCAUGCGGAGAUUAAAAUCUUCACUGUAAAUCAAGAAGAAAAAUGAAAUUCUAUAAUUUAGUAGAAAGAAAAUCUUUUUUCUGAAAUAACGAGUUACUUUAAUCUGCUAGUCCACAACCUUUUCUUCCAUUUCUUUUGGAAUUCUGACAAAUCGGUUCAACAUUUCUCUUUAAUGUAUCUCAUGGUUUAAUAUUUCCUUUAUUUUCUCAUUUUGACUACACAUUUCAUGUUUUUGUAGCAUGUUUUCUUUUCAGAAUGCCUUGUCAUAAUUUAAGCAAUUUUAGCACAUUUUGACUACAAAUUCUUCUUUGACAGUNUGAUGAAAGAAUACAAACUGCAAGGUCAGUUCAGAUGGAUUGCAGCGCAAACUGACAGAUAUCGCAACGGAGAGCUUUACCGAUGUAUCGCGGAUACAAAAGGAGCUUUUGUUCAACCAGCAUUGUAUGAAGCUUUUGGUCUAACAGUGAUUGAAGCAAUGAACUGUGGAUUACCAACUUUUGCAACAAAUCAAGGUGGUCCAGCUGAAAUUAUAGUUGAUGGUGUAUCAGGUUUUCAUAUUGAUCCUCAUAAUGGAGAUGAAUCAAUCAACAAGAUUUCUGAAUUUUUUGAGAAGUGCAAGACUAAUCCUGAACAUUGGAACAUAGUUUCUAAAGCUGGUCUUCAAAGAAUCAAUGAAUGGUACAUUUCUGAUUUAUGGUUACGGAUAUUAUCGGCAAAACAAUAGUUAAUAUCGUAUUAAACUUUGAAAAUGACAAAUAAACAGGAACACUUUUUUUUUUACGAAAGUGACAAUUAAAAAGGAACAGAGGGAGUAACAGACAUGCGUAGUUUAACAAACAUUCAUAUGGUUGGAUUUCUUAUCUUCAUUUCUUGUGUUUUCUUUGUAGCUAUACAUGGAAGAUAUAUGCAAACAAAGUGUUGAAUAUGGGAUCAAUUUAUGGGUUUUGGAGAAAGUUGAACAAAGAACAAAAGUUGGCAAAGGAAAGAUAUAUACAAAUGUUUUAUAAUCUUCAAUUUAGGAACCUGGUAAGUUUGUAAAAUUUGAUGUUACUUUUAAUAGUUUUCAUCCGUUUGUUACAAUUUUAAAAAAAAUGUAAAUAUGAAAAAAAAUUCUAAAAACUAAUUCAAAUGAGAAUCUCUUGAGUCGUUUCUCUUGAAAACGAUUUUUGUUUUUGAUAAACAAACACAAAAUAGCUUAUUUUCUAAUUUUUUUUUUUGAAAAAUAUAAUCUCUAUAUUAUUGAAUACAAAAAUCACUUUUUUAUUUUAUUUUAUUUUUUUACAAUAUAUAACAAAUAGGCCUUAAAUAACUAUUGAAAAGUUAUGGGAAAAUUUCAUUGCUUUGCAGGCAAGAAAGGUACCAAUUCCUAAGGAGGUACCCCAAGAACCUCAACCAAUGUCAACAACUCCUACCAAAAAAGCAGAAGCAAAAGCAGAAGCUACUUCCAAGGGGCAUGAUGCAGCACAAGCAAAAGCUGAAGUACCUCAAACCCAUUUGACAGCAGUACCACCCAAAAUUGAAUCUAAGCUAACAUCAAGGUAAGUCAUUUAUGCAAACUAAAAAAUGAGCUUAAAGUUACCCUAAAUGAAUAUUUGGUUUUAAUUCAGCUUUUCAUAUGUAAAAGAAAAAUGACUUGAUUACAAUUUUUGUCCCAAGUAUUAUGAUUUUGCAAUAUUCGACUAAGUGUUGAAUACGUGUUGAUCAUGAAGACUCGUCUUUUGUUGCGUAUCGCAUGUCAAUUCUAUAAACUAGUUUGAGUCGGUGACAACGAAGAUCCGUGUGUGUCACGUAAGCUAUUGAAGUUAAAAUUCGACGACCUAGUUAGUGAUUGAGGAACAUGAUUAUCACAAAAUGGUUACUUAGAAACUUUGUUCGCACAAUUAAAACUUUGAGACCGAAAUUGAAUAAUCGUUAUAAUUAUGCCCUAGGGACUAUGCCAAAAAAAUUAACAUUGAAGAAAUUUGCAUGCAAAGUUAAUAAAUAUAAAAUAUAUUUGAUAUGAUUUAAAUAAGAGAGAAAGUUUUAUGAAUCUUUUUCAUGUAUUUGUCUUUGGAUUUGCAGUGGUGAAUCUUCAAGUAUGGAACUAGCUGCAAAACAAAGUGGUGAUCUUUAUUCUGGAUUACGUUGGUUACUUCCAGGAAUUGCUUUUAUGUUCAUAAUUCAUUAUCUCUCUAAGUAUUUGGAACAUUUGUUCACAAGGGAUCAAUAAUCUCUAAGAUUAAAUCACAAUCAUAUGUGGCUGUAAUUUUAGUUUUUACUUAUUUGUAUCUUUACCUUCUUAUUUCAACUUUAUUGUAAAUGAUUUCAGUGUCAUAAGAAAGUGUCAUUUCAACAAUGUACAUUUGGAAUUAAUUAGUGGCAUUUGAAAUCAACACUGAUUAAUUAAGUAACAAAGUGAAAAAUUACAUGCAGCAGAAGAAUAUAUAAAAGCAGUUCAAAACUAAAACAUGUUAAAAGUCAUGUAGUACAAUGAUAUUUAGUAUAUACAUGAUUGGUCCACACGGCUAUAGGAAGUGGCCAGGAAGUUUCAGAGACUUCACAUCAGUCAUCACAGACCACAAAAACAAACUCAUUCAUAUUCUGAAUUCUCAAACUCUUUUUUCAUCCAAUUUCUCUCAAUUCUUAUGGCUAUACAAUCACCUUCCUCAUCCUCUUCAUUUUCCUAUGGAUUCACUUACCAAGUGUUCCUCAGUUUUAGGGGCACUGACACUCGCCACGGUUUUACCGGAAAUCUCUACAAGGCUCUUACUGACAAGGGAAUCAAAACCUUCAUUGAUGACAAUGAUCUUCAAAGAGGAGAUGAAAUCACACCAUCACUCCUCAAGGCCAUCGAAGAAUCUAGGAUUUUUAUUCCUGUGUUUUCUAUCAACUACGCCACAUCAAAAUUUUGCUUGGACGAACUUGUUCACAUUAU
rnacentral:lncRNA from 1 species